CCUACGGGAGGCAGCAGUAAGGAAUAUUGCUCAAUGGGAGAAAUCCUGAAGCAGCAACGCCGCGUGAGGGAUGAAGGGCUUUUGCUCGUAAACCUCUGUAGUGAGGGAAAAAAUUUCCACUCUGUGGAAUAUGAUGGUACCUCAAAAGUAAGCCCCGGCUAACUACGUGCCAGCAGCCGCGGUAAUACGUAGGGGGCAAGCGUUAUCCGGAUUUACUGGGUUUAAAGGGUGCGUAGGUGGGUCUGUAAGUCAGUGGUGAAAUCUCCGAGCUUAACUCGGAAACUGCCAUUGAUACUAUAGGUCUUGAAUUAUCUGGAGGUAAGCGGAAUAUGUCAUGUAGCGGUGAAAUGCUUAGAUAUGACAUAGAACACCAAUUGCGAAGGCAGCUUACUACGGAUAUAUUGACACUGAGGCACGAAAGCGUGGGGAUCAAACAGGAUUAGAUACCCUGGUAGUCCACGCCCUAAACGAUGGAUACUCGACAUCAGCGAUACACUGUUGGUGUCUGAGCGAAAGCAUUAAGUAUCCCACCUGGGAAGUACGAUCGCAAGAUUGAAACUCAAAGGAAUUGACGG
rnacentral:rRNA from 1 species